rnacentral:rRNA from 1 species
GAUGAACGCUAGCUACAGGCUUAACACAUGCAAGUCGAGGGGAAACGACAUCGCAAGCUUGCUUUUGAUGGGCGUCGACCGGCGCACGGGUGAGUAACGCGUAUCCAACCUGCCCAUCACUUGGGAAUAACCUUGCGAAAGUAAGACUAAUACCCAAUGACAUCCCACGAAGACAUCUGAAUGGGAUUAAAGAUUUAUCGGUGAUGGAUGGGGAUGCGUCUGAUUAGCUUGUUGGCGGGGUAACGGCCCACCAAGGCAACGAUCAGUAGGGGUUCUGAGAGGAAGGUCCCCCACAUUGGAACUGAGACACGGUCCAAACUCCUACGGGAGGCAGCAGUGAGGAAGAGUGGUCAAUGGGCGAGAGCCUGAACCAGCCAAGUAGCGUGCAGGAUGACGGCCCUAUGGGUUGUAAACUGCUUUUAUAAGGGAAUAAAGUGGGUCUCGGGAGACUUUUUGCAUGUACCUUAUGAAUAAGGACCGGCUAAUUCCGUG